AAAUCUAAAAAUUUACAGAUACAUCAGUACCCUGGUGUGGGUGCCCAGACUUACGCCCUCCACUUACUCCACCACCCUCGUCGUCUCAGCCCAGGAACCUGCUUUCUCUGAGGUUAUAUGCAUCAAGCAGGGAGGUGUAAGCUCUGACAACUUGGCUGAGGCAAGGAAACACUGAUGAUACGAGUUACUGAGUUCCACAAUCAUUUCAUCUUCAAGUUGGGUGAAUAAUGACCAGGAGAUCUUGUUAGUGUCUCAAAUAAAAAAAAUAAAAAAUUCCAGACUUCUGAUAUGACUGAUCCACUAUUAUUCAGUUUUGUGAUUAACAAGCAUAAUCAUCACAAUUCUGAACUGGCUUGCUUUCUUGCCUACAUGGCGAUUAACUACUUGUUUCUGGCUACUUAUGUCCUUCCAAACCUAGUCAGUAAAUUUCAACUUAUAAAAAACCUGUCUACCUGUCAAUUAAAAAAAAUAAAUAAAUAAAAAAUCUUGAUGCUACACUACAGACACAAUAUUCUGUAUUAUCUAAACUAGUCUUCUGAUUUUUAAACAAGUAUAAAUCUGACAUUACAUCAUGUGUCUCUCUGAAAUAAUGUGGCACAUAAGUCUGUCAUUGAUGUGUUAGUGUUACUCAAGUCUCUUCACAAACUAUACAUAUGAAGCAUCCGACAUUAGAAGGGCACACACACACCGCAAAAACUGAGAUAACUGUGUACAAGUACUGUUUUAAGAUCUUAUUAACUUUUGCCUGGGAGCAGAUUGAAAAUUCAUACAAAUGAAUACUUUUUGUUUAGCUGACCAUCAAUGUAGAUGCAACAUGCAACUGAGGAAUAAUUUUUGUUUUACAAGAGCUACACAUCCAGGAAUUCAGAUUUUUUUUUUAUUUUGUGUGUAUUAGUAACUGAAAGACAAGUCACUGUUCAGUUUCUUCACUACUUUUCUACUUAAAAUAUUUGUGUUUAUCUUAAAAUAUUCACAAAUUAUCAUUAUUAUAGUGUGUCUGAAAUUCAGAGAAGAAAUGCACUCAAACUACUGUCAACUUCCAAAACCAUAAUACAAUUUGUAAAAGAUGUGGAAAAAUUUGUAGUGAAUAAUCAUCUCAACAGUUUUGAGGUAAUCAUGAUUGUCUAAGCAAAUACUAUAAUAAGUUAUGGUUGUUAGAAGUUUGCUAAACUUUGAGUGCACUUUCUCACUUUGUUUUGGACCAUUCAUCCUAAAAUAACAUAAGUUGAUUCAUAUCUGCUGAAAAACCAUAUCUACUUUUUAUGCAAUUCUUCAAAUGUAUACCUAUAAUACACACACACACACACACACACAUAUAUAUAUAUAUAUAACCAAUUAUAUCAUUCUAUAAGAUUUGCUUUAUAGAGUGCUAAGUUCCAUUUGUAAAACUAUGGGAAUAGUAAAUAAGAUUUUGUUGAAUAAUUUACCAUAAAUAAAGCCAUGACUCACAUACAA